rnacentral:tRNA from 1 species
GCCGGGGUAGCUCAAUCGGUAGAGCGUGUGGCUCUUAUCGUAUCAACGAUAUAUCACAGACACCUCAAGGUCGCGGGUUCGAGCCCCGCCUUCGGCU